rnacentral:rRNA from 1 species
ACCCGCUGAAUUUAAGCAUAUCAAUAAGCGGAGGAAAAGAAACUAACAAGGAUUCCCCUAGUAACGGCGAGCGAAGCGGGAAGAGCUCAAAUUUGAAAGCUGGCACCUCCGGUGUCCGCGUUGUAAUCUCGAGACGUGUUUUCCGUGCGGCUCUAUGGACAAGUCCCUUGGAAUAGGGCAUCGUAGAGGGUGAGAAUCCCGUACUUGCCAUGGAAGAACCGUGCUUUGCGAUACACGCUCUAAGAGUCGAGUUGUUUGGGAUUGCAGCUCAAAAUGGGUGGUAGACUCCAUCUAAAGCUAAAUAUCGGGGAGAGACCGAUAGCGAACAAGUACCGUGAGGGAAAGAUGAAAAGCACUUUGGAAAGAGAGCUAAAAGUACGUGAAAUUGUCGAAAGGGAAGCACUUGAAGUCAGCCAUGCUGCUCGAGACUCAGCCUGGCCUUUGGGCUUGGUGUAUUUCUCGGUGGCAAGCCAGCAUUGGUUUGGGUCGUCGGAGAAGCGCAUAGGGAAUGUAGCGUUUCCGGACGUGUUAUAGCCUUAUGCAGGAUACGACGACCUGGAUCAAGGAACGCAGUGUGCCCUCUGGGCGGGUCUUCGGACACCUUCACACUUAGGAUGCUGGCGUAAUGGCUUUAAGUGGCCCGUCUUGAAACACGGACCAAGGAG